rnacentral:lncRNA from 1 species
UUAAAAGUUGUUGACUUAUGAAUACGCAGUCCACUCUCCACCCCUAAUACCGCUUGCUGCUGUACAUACAAAAUAGUUACACAACAAUCAAAAAUUCACUCUAACCCGAUUAAAAAAUUAAUUCACAAUGAGGUCUCUGAAAUUACUGAGACAAAAUUACUGAAUAUAUUGAAAAUUUCACUCAAUGUUUCACUUCUGCAGCCGAUACACCAACCCUUUCUUUCAAAGUGAUCUUGGCUGUGUUGAGUCGACGCAGUGGCUGAGGCGGCUGCUGCUGCAGCGGCGGAGGUGGUGGAGGAAGGGACUUCCGAAAGCGUCGAAGGUGAGCGAGAAGCGGCGAAGGGGCAAAGAGGGUGGUGGUGAAUAGAUGGACGAAAGAAAAAAAAAAUAGAGAGUAGGAAAUGGAGGGGCGGAUGGAA